AUACGGAGGAUCCGAGCGUUAUCCGGAUUUAUUGGGUUUAAAGGGUGCGCAGGCGGGAGAUUAAGUCGGCGGUGAAAUUUUGCAGCUCAACUGUAAAAGUGCCUUCGAAACUGGUUUCCUUGAGUGUAGAUGAAGUAGGCGGAAUUUGUGGUGUUGCGGUGAAAUGCAUAGAUAUCACGAGGAACUCCGAUUGCGCAGGCAGCUUACUAAACUACUACUGACGCUCAGGCACGAAGGCGUGGGGAUCAAACAGGAUUAGAUACCCUGGUAGUCCACGCAGUAAACGAUGAUUACUAGCUGUUUGCGAUACAAUGUAAGCGGCUGAGCGAAAGCGUUAAGUAAUCCACCUGGGGAGUACGUUCGCAAGAAUGAAACUCAAAGGAAUUGACGGGG
rnacentral:rRNA from 1 species